UACAGAGGUGGCAAGCGUUGUUCGGAAUUACUGGGCGUAAAGGGCGCGUAGGCGGUCUUGCAAGUCCUGUGUGAAAUCCCUCGGCUCAACUGAGGAACUGCACAGGAAACUGCUUGGCUUGAGUUCGGGAGAGGGAAGCGGAAUUCCGGGUGUAGCGGUGAAAUGCGUAGAGAUCUGCAAGAAUACCCGUGGCGAAGGCGGCCAGCUGGGCCGGUUCUGACGCUGAGGCGCGAAAGCGUGGGGAGCAAACAGG
rnacentral:rRNA from 1 species